rnacentral:rRNA from 1 species
GACAGAGGGUGCAACCGUUGUUCGGAAUUACUGGGCGUAAAGCGCGUGUAGGCUGCUCUGCAAGUCGGAUGUGAAAGCCCUGGGCUUAACCUAGGAAGUGCAUUCGAAACUUCUGAGCUAGAGUUCUGGAGAGGAAGGCGGAAUUCUCGGUGUAGAGGUGAAAUUCGUAGAUAUCGAGAGGAACACCGGUGGCGAAGGCGGCCUUCUGGACAGUGACUGACGCUGAGACGCGAAAGCGUGGGGAGCAAACAGG